GCGAGGGCCAGAAGCGACCAAUAUUACCUAGGGCCGUUUUGUGCAUUUUCUAAAGUAAAAUUGAAGGAUGUCAUGCAAUUCUCUUUUUGAUGAAGGUUUUCACAUUUCAGCUCUUACCCAAACCCCUCCCCCUAUACAUACGGCCAUGAAAAAGAUCACUUCUUAUUAUUGUUCUCUCUUUUCUUUCACAAACAGGUUGAGUUUGAAGAACAAGAAAAACAGUAGAGGUCUACCUAUAUGGUUCAAGAUGAUGAUCAUAAGGGCAUGCAUCAUUUUGCAGAUUCUCAUCCAGGAUGAUGCAGUUUUACAAUUUCCAUGGAGGUGAUUGAUGAUGAUAAAUAAUUGGUGAAGUAGGCCUAAUAGAACAGCGACUAGACCACAAAGAGAAAUACAACCUACAGCAGUUAUAUGAGACUGGUGUAACAGAUGUUUUCAUUCAUGAAAUCCAACAAUUCAAUAUUGAAGAGUCUGACUUAGGAACCACUUGAUGAAGAUGGAAAAGGUUUUUUUUUUCCAAGUUAAAUUUUUCAACAACAAAAAAAAAAUUAUUAUCACAACCCCAAAUUCAUGACGUAUGAAAUUUCUUGUUGAUUUUCAUUAAAACUGGUUGAAAAAGGAGAAGCUAUAAACAUACAAAUAGGAGCGGCUGAGUGAAGUUGAAAGUGGGGGGCAUAGGGAAAAUGCUGUAUUACGUGAAAUUUUUAAGAAGUUGCGAGCGAGCAAAAUUUUGACAUUUUUAAAAAGAAAAUCUAAA